CUGUAGUCAUUGUUGUAUGACUGCACAAAAGCAAAAUUCAGGACAAGUGGUUAGGAAACAGGGAAAUCUGACUAUGGUAAUUGCUAUAGAAAAUAUCGUUAAGUUGCCUUGAGGGGGGAGAUAUCUUUUUGCUUGAGCAUUGCUACUGGAUUUUUGGACCAUCUGAGAACAGUCAAAACUCCCUGUAAGGCCAUCUGGAUUGUUGCUGCUGUUUGCAUUACAAAGCCAGAUGCCAACCAAGUGUUGUACAUGCUAUUUGAUCAAAAGAAGAUAUUCAAGUGGAUUUGUGCAGAUGACAGAGGGAGAACAUCCAUGCCAUGCAACAGAUGCAGCAACUGAGCCCGUACUGCACGACUAAGGGACAGACACCCUCGUGGGCCCAGAUCCGUGGGACUACUUUCUGAUGGGAGAAGGAUGAGACCCGACUCUGUAGCCAUUACUCACACCAAGCAGUACUCGCUCAGUCUCUGCGGGUCUAGCCUCCGUGUCCAUUCCCUCGUGGUGCUCCCACACGGUGCCUCGGCAGAGGCUUUGCAGGCACUCAGCGUGACGAGGAUGGCAGGAAGGAGAGGAUCGGUGCUCCGACACAGCAGCCAUUUUAAGCUGCUUCUUCCACAGCUGGAAAUCAUUGCGAUAGCAUCAGCUGCCAAGGAGAGUUAUGAGAGUUGGCAGGAUUCAGAGGGAAAGAGGUAGCAGCUAAAUCACUUGUGAAUAGCAAGCGCUUCAAAGGCAGAGCGCGGGGCCCCGGCUGGUGGGCGGGUGCUGUGCCGGGACGCAUCCGGACCCAGCAAGGGUGCUGGGGGCAGCACGAGGCUCCGAGCAGGGUGAACGGCACCCGCAGGGCCUGACCUGCUCUUUGUGGCCCCAACAGCGUGUCCCCAGCCACAGGCAGCUGGGACACCUCGCAGCUGGAGCUGAUGCAUUAUUCAGCAAGGAAAUAAGUGCUCUGCAACCCCACCGCAAAAAAAACACUCUAUAGUGCAAGGAUAGGAAGCAUACAAUAUAUUCCUCUCCAAAUUAAUUGCUAUUAUUUUGAUUAAAACACAUUAUCAUAUAAAUAUUUGAUUAAGAAUGUGAUUAAAUCUUUCUUGCUUAUGAACUGUGACAACUUUAAAGUCUAACCUUUUAUAGCUUGGCACCACAUCAUUAUUUUGCUCAUUAGCUACGUUUAAUAAUUCGAUCUCAUAAUAUGCUUUGCCAUUUGGAACCUGCCUUUGUGUGCCAAGUUCAAAUCGAU